CUGGAAAGCCUGGCCUGGGAGCACAGCGGCAAGACCAUCGUGAGCUCGCACAGCGACGGGGGCUACAUGGUGUGGGCCGUGAGCGGCAGCUGCCAGAAGACCCAGAAGCCCGUCCUGUCCACCAUCCCCUACGGUCCGUUCCCUUGCAAAGCCAUCAGCAAAAUCUUGUGGCGAACCAGUGACUCGGGCAACCCCUUCAUCAUCUUCAACGGCGGCAUGCCGCGGGCCAGCUACGGCGAA